GGUGAAAAGCACCCCGGAAGGGGAGUGAAAUAGAACCUGAAACCGUGUGCUUACAAGUAGUCAGAGCCCGUUAAUGGGUGAUGGCGUGCCUUUUGUAGAAUGAACCGGCGAGUUACGAUUUGAUGCAAGGUUAAGCAGUAAAUGUGGAGCCGUAGCGAAAGCGAGUCUGAAUAGGGCGUUUAGUAUUUGGUCGUAGACCCGAAACCAGGUGAUCUACCCUUGGUCAGGUUGAAGUUCAGGUAACACUGAAUGGAGGACCGAACCGACUUACGUUGAAAAGUGAGCGGAUGAACUGAGGGUAGCGGAGAAAUUCCAAUCGAACCUGGAGAUAGCUGGUUCUCUCCGAAAUAGCUUUAGGGCUAGCCUCAAGUGAUGAUUAUUGGAGGUAGAGCACUGUUUGGACGAGGGGCCCCUCUCGGGUUACCGAAUUCAGACAAACUCCGAAUGCCAAUUAAUUUAACUUGGGAGUCAGAACAUGGGUGAUAAGGUCCGUGUUCGAAAGGGAAACAGCCCAGACCACCAGCUAAGGUCCCAAAAUAUAUGUUAAGUGGAAAAGGAUGUGGCGUUGCCCAGACAACUAGGAUGUUGGCUUAGAAGCAGCCAUCAUUUAAAGAGUGCGUAAUAGCUCACUAGUCGAGUGACACUGCGCCGAAAAUGUACCGGGGCUAAACAUAUUACCGAAGCUGUGGAUUGUCCUUUGGACAAUGGUAGGAGAGCGUUCUAAGGGCGUUGAAGCAUGAUCGUAAGGACAUGUGGAGCGCUUAGAAGUGAGAAUGC
rnacentral:rRNA from 1 species